UACGUAGGGGGCGAGCGUUGUCCGGAAUUACUGGGCGUAAAGGGUGCGUAGGCGGUUUUGUAAGUUGGAUGUGAAAUCCCCGGGCUUAACUUGGGGGCUGCAUUCAAAACUGCGAGACUUGAGUAUCGGAGAGGGAAGCGGAAUUCCGAGUGUAGCGGUGAAAUGCUUAGAUAUUCGGAAGAACACCUGAGGCGAAGGCGGCUUUCUGGACGACAACUGACGCUGAGGCACGAAAGCGUAGGGAGCAAAC
rnacentral:rRNA from 1 species